rnacentral:misc_RNA from 1 species
UAGAACAUUUUGGAUCGAAGGUUGUCGCUGGCCCGGCGGGCAUGUGCACACCUUCGUUUGUCCCACUCAUCCCCUUGUGCACCUCUUGCCAGGCCGAGGAAAAAUCGGUCUCGCGUUUAUCUAUUCAACACCCUAGAAUGUUUCUGCGUUGGCCACGCCAACGAUAAAUUACAUUAA